CCUACGGGAGGCAGCAGUGGGGAAUUUUGCGCAAUGCUCGUAAGAGUGACGCAGCGACGCCGCGUGAAUGACGAAGGCUUUCGGGUUGUAAACUUCUUUUCUCAGGGACGAAGAAAGUGACGGUACCUGAGGAAUAAGCCACGGCUAACUACGUGCCAGCAGCCGCGGUAAUACGUAGGUGGCAAGCGUUAUCCGGAUUUACUGGGUGUAAAGGGCGUGUAGGCGGGACUGCAAGUCAGAUGUGAAAACCACGGGCUCAACCUGUGGCCUGCAUUUGAAACUGUAGUUCUUGAGUACUGGGGAGGCAGACGGAAUUCCUAGUGUAGCGGUGAAAUGCGUAGAUAUUAGGAGGAACACCAGUGGCGAAGGCGGUCUGCUGGACAGCAACUGACGCUGAGGCGCGAAAGCGUGGGGAGCAAACAGGAUUAGAUACCCGAGUAGUC
rnacentral:rRNA from 1 species